rnacentral:rRNA from 1 species
AAAUUGAAGAGUUUGAUCAUGGCUCAGAUUGAACGCUGGCGGCAGGCCUAACACAUGCAAGUCGAACGGUAACAGGAAACAGCUUGCUGUUUCGCUGACGAGUGGCGGACGGGUGAGUAAUGUC